GAUGAACGCUGGCGGCGUGCCUAACACAUGCAAGUCGAGCGAUUCUCUUCGGAGAAGAGCGGCGGACGGUGAGUAACGCGUGGGUAACCUGCCCUGUACACACGGAUAACAUACCGAAAGGUAUGCUAAUACGAGAUAAUAUACUUUAUCGCAUGGUAGAAGUAUCAAAGCUUUUGCGGUACAGGAUGGACCCGCGUCUGAUUAGCUAGUUGGUAAGUAACGGCUUACCAAGGCGACGAUCAGUAGCCGACCUGAGAGGGUGAUCGGCCACAUUGGAACUGAGACUACGGUCCAAACUCCUACGGGAGGCAGCAGUGGGGAAUAUUGCACAAUGGGCGAAAGCCUGAUGCAGCAAACGUCCGCGUGAGCGAUGAAGGCC
rnacentral:rRNA from 1 species